rnacentral:rRNA from 1 species
GAUGAACGCUGGCGGCGUGCCUAAUACAUGCAAGUCGAGCGAACGGACGAGAAGCUUGCUUCUCUGAUGUUAGCGGCGGACGGGUGAGUAACACGUGGAUAACCUACCUAUAAGACUGGGAUAACUUCGGGAAACCGGAGCUAAUACCGGAUAAUAUUUUGAACCGCAUGGUUCAAAAGUAAAAGACGGUCUUGCUGUCACUUAUAGAUGGAUCCGCGCUGCAUUAGCUAGUUGGUAAGGUAACGGCUUACCAAGGCAACGAUGCAUAGCCGACCUGAGAGGGUGAUCGGCCACACUGGAACUGAGACGCGGUCCAGACGCCUACGGGAGGCAGCAGUAGGGAAUCUUCCGCAAUGGGCGAAAGCCUGACGGAGCAACGCCGCGUGAGUGAUGAAGGUCUUCGGAUCGUAAAACUCUGUUAUUAGGGAAGAACAUAUGUGUAAGUAACUGUGCACAUCUUGACGGUACCUAAUCAGAAAGCCACGGCUAACUACGUG